rnacentral:lncRNA from 1 species
CGAUGCUUGAAAAGAUGACUGUGCAUGUGUGGAACUGGGGAUGCACAGACAUGCAUGUCACAGUCUAGGAAAGCAGCAGAUACUCCUUGGGGGUUCAGGGUCACAGACGGAGAAUCCCUGGUGAAACCACCUGUUCCCGACAGCCACCACCCUGGCAUUAGGGGCCGGCAUGUAGGGUGAAGGUGAAAGGCAGCCAUCUAGCAGCUACUGAGUACUUACUGAAUGCUGGGUACUGUUCUAGGUACACUGCAUGUGUUAUUGUACAUCUGACUCUCACAGCAAGACUUUGGGACAAGUCCUAUCCUAGUGUGCAGAUGGGAAGCCUAGGGUUCUCACCACACAACUAGGAAACGACAAAGCUGGGAUCCACACCUGCUGAGCAGUGUAAAUCCAUAGCCUGCAUUUUCUCCAUUGAGAAUACGGGAAUUUGAGGAUCCAUGCCUGCUUAACUUCUAGUCUCCCCCACAGUGUGUGUACAUACGUGGCGCAGCGGCAAAGAACCUGCCUGCCGAUGAAGCAGACAUGAGACACAGGGGUUUGAUCCCUGGGUUGGGAAGGUCCCCUGGAGGAGGGCAUGGUAACCCACCCCAGUCCUCUUGCCUGGAAAAGUCAGUGGACAGAGGGGCCUGGCAGGCUACAGUCUAUGGGGUCACAAAGAGCUGGACAUGACUGAGUGACUGAGCACAUGUAUGUAAGUGUGUAUAUGCGUGUGGGGGGCAGGGCACGAGUCUGGGACCACCCUGAGUUUGACGAACUGGAGUUGGCUGCACAACUGAGCAACUGAGCACAUGCCCAUAGAUGGCACUCUGACACUGUCUACUGGCGGCAUGGCUACAGCAGAGAAAGUCACCCCGGAGGCCUGUUGCCCAGAGCCAGCCUGCCUGUCAAGCUUGUCACUGUACCCACAGACCCCCCUGGGGACAGAAGACCAUGGCUGCCAGCUCCCUCCCACUCAGGUUGGACCAGCCACAGGCCCUCCUCAUCUCUGUCCAGACGGCAGCUGGCCCUCUCCAGCCAGAGCAUCCAGUCAUUGUCCAGAGAGGAAAACAGUCACAGCGGGACAUCAUUCAGAAGCACUUCUCAGUCAAAUCAAUUACUGUAAUUAG